GACGAACGCUGGCGGCGUGCUUAACACAUGCCAGUCGAACGGAAAGGCCCUGCUUUUGUGGGGUGCUCGAGUGGCGAACGGGUGAGUAACACGUGAGUAACCUGCCCUUGACUUUGGGAUAACUUCAGGAAACUGGGGCUAAUACCGGAUAGGAGCUCCUGCUGCAUGGUGGGGGUUGGAAAGUUUCGGCGGUUGGGGAUGGACUCGCGGCUUAUCAGCUUGUUGGUGGGGUAGUGGCUUACCAAGGCUUUGACGGGUAGCCGGCCUGAGAGGGUGACCGGCCACAUUGGGACUGAGAUACGGCCCAGACUCCUACGGGAGGCAGCAGUGGGGAAUAUUGCUCAAUGGGCGGAAGCCUGAUGCAGCAACGCCGCGUGCGGGAUGACGGCCUUCGGGUUGUAAACCGCUUUCGCCUGUGACGAAGCGUGAGUGACGGUAAUGGGUAAAGAAGCACCGGCUAACUACGUG
rnacentral:rRNA from 1 species